CUGGAAGGAGAAGAGGCAUGUGCUCUCACACAGCACGGUGAGGUUCAGACCUAGGACCCUGGUGGGAGCCUGGAGGUCAAGAGAUGAGUUUCUAGGAUCAGCUCACAUCAGGAGGACCACCCAAAAGAAGAGAGGACACAAAAUUCCUGUUCUGACCCACAAACUGGUCAGAUUUGGCUCGAGGACCCUUGUGGGAGCCAAGAGGGCAGCAGAUGUUUCUGACCAGUGAGUAGAUUUGGGUGGGUGGAUGGGAGGAGCUUGUCAAACAGAUACUGGGAUAUAAGAGAUCACAGAUCUAGAGGACCAUAACAUUAGAAGGGAG